rnacentral:rRNA from 1 species
UACGAUGGGAGGCUAGCGUUGCUCGGAAUCACUGGGCGUAAAGCGCACGUAGGCGGACUCUUAAGUCGGUGGUGAAAUCCUGGAGCUCAACUCCAGAACUGCCUUCGAUACUGAGAGUCUCGAGUCCGGGAGAGGUGAGUGGAACUGCGAGUGUAGAGGUGAAAUUCGUAGAUAUUCGCAAGAACACCAGUGGCGAAGGCGGCUCACUGGCCCGGUACUGACGCUGAGGUGCGAAAAGCGUGGGGGAGCAAACAGGG